rnacentral:rRNA from 1 species
CCUACGGGGGGCUGCAGUAAGGAAUAUUGGGCAAUGGACGAAAGUCUGACCCAGCCAUGCCGCGUGAAGGAUGAAGGCCCUAUGGGUUGUAAACUUCUUUUGUACGGGAAAAAACCUCCGGUCGAGUAUCGGAGCUGAUGGUACCGUAAGAAUAAGCAUCGGCUAACUCCGUGCCAGCAGCCGCGGUAAUACGGAGGAUGCAAGUGUUUUCCGGAUUCAUUGGGUUUAAAGGGUCCGGUAAGGGACUGGUGAAAUCCUACAGCUUAACUGUAGAACUGCCAUUGAUACUGCUAAUCUUGAGUGUUGUUGAGGUAGGCGGAAUGUGUCAUGUAGCGGUGAAAUGCUUAGAUAUGACACAGAACACCGAUCGCGAAGGCAGCUUACCAAGCAACAACUGACGCUCAUGCACGAAAGCGUGGGGAUCAAACAGGAUUAGAUACCCCAGUAGUC